GUGGUACACUUUUUGAGGAGUUUACACCAAGGCCGUUGCAUGCUCGAAAUGAUUGGUCUUUAGUUGAGUCCCGUUACAUCUCCACCAAUUGUCAAGCUAGGGGAAUACGUUCUGUAUACCCUAAGCUUCUCCUCCGUUGUCUGGGCCCUGGCAGGAUACGCUCUGCUGACAUCGCACAGCGGACUGUCAGAGAGCGGUAUGAGGAGGUGGAAGUGAUCGUUAGACGUUGCACACGCAGAUCUAACGUUUCACCCGUACAUCCCUUCCCGCUACCUUCCUUGGUUCCCCAGCGACGUCGAGGUCAUCCUGCUGCUCCUACUGUAAGUAGUAGAGCCUUAGAGCAGGAUACCC